GUAGACAUAGUUUAACUAAGACACUAGAUUGUGAUUCUAGAGAUAGGGGCUAAACCCCCCUUGUCCACC
rnacentral:tRNA from 1 species